rnacentral:rRNA from 1 species
AUUGAACGCUGGCGGCAGGCUUAACACAUGCAAGUCGAGCGGGGGAAGGUAGCUUGCUACCGGACCUAGCGGCGGACGGGUGAGUAAUGCUUAGGAAUCUGCCUAUUAGUGGGGGACAACAUCUCGAAAGGGAUGCUAAUACCGCAUACGUCCUACGGGAGAAAGCAGGGGAUCUUCGGACCUUGCGCUAAUAGAUGAGCCUAAGUCGGAUUAGCUAGUUGGUGGGGUAAAGGCCUACCAAGGCGACGAUCUGUAGCGGGUCUGAGAGGAUGAUCCGCCAAACUGGGACUGAGACACGGCCCAGAAUCCUACGGGAGGCAGCAGUGGGGAAUAUUGGACAAGGGGGGGAAACCUGAUCCAGCCAUGCCGCGUGUGUGAAGAAGGCCUUAUGGUUGUAAAGCACUUUAAGCGAGGAGGAGGCUACUCUAGUUAAUACCUAGGGAUAGUGGACGUUACUCGCAGAAUAAGCACCGGCUAACUCUGUGCCAGCCGCCGCCGUAA